rnacentral:tRNA from 1 species
ACCUGGCUGGCUCAGUCGGUAGAGCGUGCGACCCUUGAUCUCGGGGUCAUGAGUUCAAGCCCCAUGUUGGGUG